CCGAGAAAUUUCCCGAGAGAGUUUAUCGCGUUCUUGAGAUUCAAACGAAGAAUCGGAGGUGUUAUCGGACUCGGAUUUUGGUGUUCAAGUAUCCAAAUUGAAGGUUUCGACGUGUAGAAUCCAUUUUCAUCAUCAAAAACACUCAGAAAUCAUCAGUGAAGGCAGAGAAAGUUGGUAACGAUGACCCUCAGGCUAGUAGUAAGGUCAGGAUUCCAGGCUAGGAGAUGAAGAGAGCUAUCAGCAGCACCUGGCUUUUCAUAUAUGUACUAGUUUGAAUAACGAGACACAAAUGGCGUGUAAGCUUGUAAGAUUUAAGUUUUUAUUUUGGGAUUUGGGUUUGUAAUAAUUAAAGUUGUGUUGUGGCUUGUUUUAUACUUUAACCUGUUGCGAUCCAAGGACAGUGAAGGGUCACUAUAUAUAUUAUAUCAUUAAUUA